AGCGGAACUAACAGAUUUGCUUCGGUAAUGACGUUAGGAAAGCGGGCGGCGGAUGGGUGAGUAACACGUGGGGAAUCUGCCCCAUAGUCUGGGAUACCACUUGGAAACAGGUGCUAAUACCGGAUAAGAAAGCAGAUCGCAUGAUCAGCUUUUAAAAGGCGGCGUAAGCUGUCGCUAUGGGAUGGCCCCGCGGUGCAUUAGCUAGUUGGUAAGGUAAAGGCUUACCAAAGCGAUGAUGCAUAGCCGAGUUGAGAGACUGAUCGGCCACAUUGGGACUGAGACACGGCCCAAACUCCUACGGGAGGCAGCAGUAGGGAAUCUUCCACAAUGGACGCAAGUCUGAUGGAGCAACGCCGCGUGAGUGAAGAAGGUUUUCGGAUCGUAAAGCUCUGUUGUUGGUGAAGAAGGAUAGAGGUAGUAACUGGCCUUUAUUUGACGGUAAUCAACCAGAAAGUCACGGCUAACUACGUGCCAGCAGCCGCGGUAAUACGUAGGUGGCAAGCGUUGUCCGGAUUUAUUGGGCGUAAAGCGAGCGCAGGCGGAAGAAUAAGUCUGAUGUGAAAGCCCUCGGCUUAACCGAGGAACUGCAUCGGAAACUGUUUUUCUUGAGUGCAGAAGAGGAGAGUGGAACUCCAUGUGUAGCGGUGGAAUGCGUAGAUAUAUGGAAGAACACCAGUGGCGAAGGCGGCUCUCUGGUCUGCAACUGACGCUGAGGCUCGAAAGCAUGGGUAGCGAACAGGAUUAGAUACCCUGGUAGUCCAUGCCGUAAACGAUGAGUGCUAAGUGUUGGGAGGUUU
rnacentral:rRNA from 1 species